CCUACGGGUGGCAGCAGUGAGGGAUAUUGCACAAUGGAGGGAACCCUGAUGCAGCGACGCCGCGUGGGUGAAGGAGUGCUUCGGCAUGUAAAGCCCUAUCGGCAGGGAAGAAGCAAGACGGUACCUGACUAAGAAGCCCCGGCUAACUACGUGCCAGCAGCCGCGGUACUACGUAGGGGGCGAGCGUUAUCCGGAUUCACUGGGUUUAAAGGGAGCGUAGACGGCCAAGCAAGCCAGGGGUGAAAGCCCGGGGCCCAACCCCGGGACUGCCCUUGGAACUGUAGGGCUAGAGUGCGGGUGCGGCAGGCGGAAUGCCUGGUGUAGCGGUGAAAUGCUUAGAGAUCAGGAGGAACACCGGCGGCGAAGGCGGCCUGCUGGACCGCGACUGACGUUGAGGCUCGAAAGCGUGGGGAGCGAACAGGAUUAGAUACCCCGGUAGUC
rnacentral:rRNA from 1 species